rnacentral:sRNA from 1 species
ACGCAGUGCCAAAGGAUCUAGCCGAUCGG